UACGAAGGGGGCUAGCGUUGUUCGGAAUUACUGGGCGUAAAGCGCACGUAGGCGGAUCGAUCAGUCAGGGGUGAAAUCCCAGGGCUCAACCCCGGAACUGCCUUUGAUACUGUCGAUCUGGAGUAUGGAAGAGGUGAGUGGAAUUCCGAGUGUAGAGGUGAAAUUCGUAGAUAUUCGGAGGAACACCAGUGGCGAAGGCGGCUCACUGGUCCAUUACUGACGCUGAGGUGCGAAAGCGUGGGGAGCGAACAGG
rnacentral:rRNA from 1 species